rnacentral:rRNA from 1 species
AACGAACGCUGGCGGCAGGCUUAACACAUGCAAGUCGAGCGCCCCGCAAGGGGAGCGGCAGACGGGUGAGUAACGCGUGGGAAUCUACCCAUCUCUACGGAGUAACGCAUGGAAACGUGUGCUAAUACCGUAUACGUCCUUCGGGAGAAAGAUUUAUCGGAGAUGGAUGAGCCCGCGUUGGAUUAGCUAGUUGGUGGGGUAAAGGCCUACCAAGGCGACGAUCCAUAGCUGGUCUGAGAGGAUGAUCAGCCACACUGGGACUGAGACACGGCCCAGACUCCUACGGGAGGCAGCAGUGGGGAAUAUUGGACAAUGGGCGCAAGCCUGAUCCAGCCAUGCCGCGUGAGUGAUGAAGGCCCUAGGGUUGUAAAGCUCUUUCACCGGUGAAGAUAUGACGGUAACCGGAGAAGAAGCCCCGGCUAACUUCGUGCCAGCCGCCGCGGUAAUAC